AUAUUCAAAGAACUAUUUCUUUAUCAUUAUUUAAUUAUAUUUACAGAACAUACACCAAAAGAAAACAGCUGUUGUAGCCUGUCAGCCGCCGGCCCCUCCAGCAGCCGAAUCAGAGGAGGAGGAGGAGGAGGAAGUGUGGGAGUCAGGGUCGGCAUCAGGGCAACCCGGGAACUGGGGAAGAGGGAAUGGAGCUGGCAGAGAAGAGAGAGAGAGAUAGAGGUGGAGCCUGGGCCAUCCGUCAGCCUUCAGAUGGAGAGUCAACAGCCCCCAGGUCUGAAGGUGGUUGAUGAAGAAGAGGAGGAACAUCUGGGUCCAGUGCCUGACAUUGUUGUGGUUAGCCGACAGCAGAUUUCUCUGCCGAGGGAGCAUGCUCAGUGCUCAUUGUCUUCAGGUGAUCAGGAGACAAGUUACGAUUCACAGAGACAUAGCCCUGCAAAGUCGGGAAUUCCUCUCAGCAGCUUUUAAUGUAACCUUCUUUAUCUCUGAAGCAUACAACACACUUAGCACUCAGUAGCUGAAUCCAUUACUAAAAGAAGCACUGACAAUAAUAUAGUAGCAGCAAAUAAAAAGCAGCCAAACAACCUGGGGGAUUAAGAGUUCUUUAAUUGACUGGUGUAAUGGUGCUUCCUAUAACAAUAUUUGAUUGUUAUAGCUUAGUAGCAAAGAGAGCAAUACAGUAUGGCUAGCAGAGUAUGUGGGUGGUCCCCACCCAGAAAGAUGUCUCCAGUUAACAGCUAGAGCAUGCUUACCCAACUCACCUGCAGUGCAGAAAGGUGGCCAAUGAUGACUGAUAUGCAUAAAGUUCAGUUUUUGAUAUGUGCUGCUCAAAAGCUGGCAAGCCAGAAAAAACAUAACAGGAAAUCUCUCUAGAAGUCAGGUCUAUCAUGCCUCAUUCACUUUCCAAUGUCUGUUUAAAAAACAAGAAAUACAAUCUUUGCAGAAUUAUCUGCCUCCUGCAAAUGUUGAACUUAGAAAGAUGAGAUUACAUCUGUAUAUUGCAUAUACAUUUCAAAGAAUGAAGUAUUAAAUAAUUAUCACAAGUACUGGAUGACGGGUGAAGUAACAACAUUUGAGGAGGGCAAAUGUUAUUCCUAUUUCCAGAAGACAAUUAGAGAUAUCAGUCAAUCUUGAUAACUGAGACGAUUGAUACCUUAUAUCAAAGGUGUCAAACUCAAGUCCCAGGGGCCAGAUUUGGCCAGCCAGGUGCUUAGAUUUGGCCCGUGGAGCUACCCUGAAAACAGUGAGGGACUGGCCUGUGGUGCCUCUGCCAGCAAAAAUGGAGCCCUCCCAGGCCCAUUUUUGCUGGCAGAAGGUUUCAGGAGGUCAUUACAGCCAAAAAUGAAGCUCUGGAGUACAUUUGAGUGCUCGGGCUGCCACAGGUGCCCCCAACACGAGUGAUGUCAAGCUGGCCACACACCCCCCGAGGUCAAACACAACCCUGAUGCGGCCCUCAGUGAAACCGAGUUUGAUACCCCUGCCUUAUAUCAUAAAAUGGAUUGAUCUGUAAGCACUCAGAAACAAUUCAAUGAUAGAUUUGUCAAGAACAAGACUGUCAAACUAAUUUUAUUUCAUUUUUAAGUAAGUUCUUUAAUAGUGGGAAUUCUGUGGAUAUAAUAUAUCUUGACUAACAAAAC
ensembl:lncRNA